GCGCAGUUUGCCAGUGAGCACC
rnacentral:sRNA from 1 species